UCCUUGGAGGUCCAGUGGUCAAGACUCUGCAGUCCCAAUACAGAGAGCACAGGUUCAAUCCCUGGUCAGGGAA
rnacentral:tRNA from 1 species